rnacentral:rRNA from 1 species
CAGCCGCCGCGGUAAUACGUAGGUGGCAAGCGUUAUCCGGAAUUAUUGGGCGUAAAGCGCGCGUAGGCGGUUUUUUAAGUCUGAUGUGAAAGCCCACGGCUCAACCGUGGAGGGUCAUUGGAAACUGGAAAACUUGAGUGCAGAAGAGGAAAGUGGAAUUCCAUGUGUAGCGGUGAAAUGCGCAGAGAUAUGGAGGAACACCAGUGGCGAAGGCGACUUUCUGGUCUGUAACUGACGUUGAUGUGCGAAAGCGUGGGGAUCAAACAGGAUUAGAUACCCCCGUAGUCCCUGUCUCUUAUAC